CCUACGGGAUGCAGCAGUGAGGAAUAUUGGUCAAUGGACGAGAGUCUGAACCAGCCAAGUAGCGUGAAGGAUGACUGCCCUAUGGGUUGUAAACUUCUUUUAUAUGGGAAUAAAACAGGGUAUGCAUACCCUCUUGUAUGUACCAUAUGAAUAAGGAUCGGCUAACUCCGUGCCAGCAGCCGCGGUAAUACGGAGGAUCCGAGCGUUAUCCGGAUUUAUUGGGUUUAAAGGGAGCGUAGGUGGAUUGUUAAGUCAGUUGUGAAAGUUUGCGGCUCAACCGUGAAAUUGCAGUUGAAACUGGCAGUCUUGAGUAUAGUAGAGGUGGGCGGAAUUCGUGGUGUAGCGGUGAAAUGCGUAGAUAUCAGGAAGAACACCGACGGCGAAGGCAGCUCACUGGACUGAAACUGACACUGAGGUGCGAAAGUGUGGGUAUCAAACAGGAUUAGAUACCCGGGUAGUC
rnacentral:rRNA from 1 species